GACGAACGCUGGCGGCGUGCUUAACACAUGCAAGUCGAACGGUAAGGCUCCAGCUUGCUGGGGUACACGAGUGGCGAACGGGUGAGUAACACGUGGGUGACCUGCCCUGCACUUCGGGAUAAGCCUGGGAAACUGGGUCUAAUACCGGAUAGGACCAUGGUGUGGAUACUGUGGUGGAAAGUUUUUUCGGUGUGGGAUGGGCCCGCGGCCUAUCAGCUUGUUGGUGGGGUAAUGGCCUACCAAGGCGGCGACGGGUAGCCGGCCUGAGAGGGUGGACGGCCACAUUGGGACUGAGACACGGCCCAGACUCCCACGGGAGGCAGCAGUGGGGAAUAUUGCACAAUGGGCGGAAGCCUGAUGCAGCGACGCCGCGUGGGGGAUGACGGCCUUCGGGUUGUAAACUCCUUUCACCAUCGACGAAGGGUUUCUGACGGUAGAUGGAGAAGAAGCACCGGCUAACUACGUG
rnacentral:rRNA from 1 species